ACGAACGCUGGCGGCGUGCUUAACACAUGCAAGCCGAGCGGAAAGGCCCUUCGGGGUACUCGAGCGGCGAACGGGUGAGUAACACGUGAGCAACCUGCCCUAGGCUUUGGGAUAACCCUCGGAAACGGGGGCUAAUACCGAAUAUUCACUUGCGGACGCAUGUUUGUGGGUGGAAAGUUUUUCGGCUUGGGAUGGGCUCGCGGCCUAUCAGCUUGUUGGUGGGGUGAUGGCCUACCAAGGCGACGACGGGUAGCCGGCCUGAGAGGGCGACCGGCCACACUGGGACUGAGACACGGCCCAGACUCCUACGGGAGGCAGCAGUGGGGAAUAUUGCACAAUGGGCGGAAGCCUGAUGCAGCGACGCCGCGUGAGGGAUGACGGCCUUCGGGUUGUAAACCUCUUUCAGCAGGGACGAAGCGCAAGUGACGGUACCUGCAGAAGAAGCGCCGGCCAACUACGUGCCAGCAGCCGCGGUAAGACGUAGGGCGCGAGCGUUGUCCGGAUUUAUUGGGCGUAAAGAGCUCGUAGGCGGCUUGUCGCGUCGACUGUGAAAACCCGUGGCUCAACUGCGGGCCUGCAGUCGAUACGGGCAGGCUAGAGUUCGGUAGGGGAGACUGGAAUUCCUGGUGUAGCGGUGAAAUGCGCAGAUAUCAGGAGGAACACCGGUGGCGAAGGCGGGUCUCUGGGCCGAUACUGACGCUGAGGAGCGAAAGCGUGGGGAGCGAACAGGAUUAGAUACCCUGGUAGUCCACGCUGUAAACGUUGGGCGCUAGGUGUGGGGGGCCUCUCCGGUUCUCUGUGCCGCAGCUAACGCAUUAAGCGCCCCGCCUGGGGAGUACGGCCGCAAGGCUAAAACU
rnacentral:rRNA from 1 species